rnacentral:rRNA from 1 species
CCAGACUCCUACGGGAGGCAGCAGUGGGGAAUAUUGCACAAUGGGGGGAACCCUGAUGCAGCGAUGCCGCGUGGAGGAAGAAGGUUUUCGGAUUGUAAACUCCUUUUAUCAGGGACGAUAAUGACGGUACCUGAAGAAAAAGCUCCGGCUAACUACGUGCCAGCAGCCGCGGUAAUACGGAGGAUGCGAGCGUUAUCCGGAUUUAUUGGGUUUAAAGGGUGCGCAGGCGGUCUGUUAAGUCAGCGGUCAAAGCCCGGGGCUCAACCCCGUUCCGCCGUUGAAACUGACGGUCUUGAGUGGGCGAGAAGUAUGCGGAAUGCGUGGUGUAGCGGUGAAAUGCAUAGAUAUCACGAAGAACUCCGAUUGCGAAGGCAGCCUACUAAACUGCCACUGACAUUGAUGCUCGAAAGUGUGGGUAUCAAACAGGAUUAGAUACCCCUGUA